GCCUUGAUGUGUAGGAUAGGUGGGAGGCUUUGAAGUGUGGACGCCAGUCUGCAUGGAGCCGACCUUGAAAUACCACCCUUUAAUGUUUGAUGUUCUAACGUGGACCCGUGAUCCGGGUUGCGGACAGUGUCUGGUGGGUAGUUUGACUGGGGCGGUCUCCUCCUAAAGAGUAACGGAGGAGCACGAAGGUUGGCUAAUCCUGGUCGGACAUCAGGAGGUUAGUGCAAUGGCAUAAGCCAGCUUGACUGCGAGCGUGACGGCGCGAGCAGGUGCGAAAGCAGGUCAUAGUGAUCCGGUGGUUCUGAAUGGAAGGGCCAUCGCUCAACGGAUAAAAGGUACUCCGGGGAUAACAGGCUGAUACCGCCCAAGAGUUCAUAUCGACGGCGGUGUUUGGCACCUCGAUGUCGGCUCAUCACAUCCUGGGGCUGAAGUAGGUCCCAAGGGUAUGGCUGUUCGCCAUUUAAAGUGGUACGCGAGCUGGGUUUAGAACGUCGUGAGACAGUUCGGUCCCUAUCUGCCGUGGGCGCUGGAGAACUGAGGGGGGCUGCUCCUAGUACGAGAGGACCGGAGUGGACGCAUCACUGGUGUUCGGGUUGUCAUGCCAAUGGCACUGCCCGGUAGCUAAAUGCGGAAGAGAUAAGUGCUGAAAGCAUCUAAGCACGAAACUUGCCCCGA
rnacentral:rRNA from 1 species